UACGGAGGGUGCAAGCGUUGUUCGGAAUCACUGGGCGUAAAGCGCGUGUAGGCGGCCUCCUAAGUCUGGUGUGAAAGCCCGGGGCUUACCCCCGGAAGUGCACUGGAUACUGGGAGACUAGAGUACCGGAGAGGAGGGUGGAAUUCCUGGUGUAGCGGUGAAAUGCGUAGAUAUCAGGAGGAACACCGAUGGCGAAGGCAGGUCUCUGGGCUGACACUGAUGCUCAUGCACGAAAGCGUGGGGAGCAAACAGG
rnacentral:rRNA from 1 species